rnacentral:tRNA from 2 species
GUCAGGAUGGCCGAGUGGUCUAAGGCGCCAGACUCAAGUUCUGGUCUCCAAAUGGAGGCGUGGGUUCAAAUCCCACUCCUGACA